rnacentral:misc_RNA from 1 species
GUGUUUCAAAGUAUGGAACAGGAGCAGACGAUCUUCUGUUGCGAAUUGUCGGUCUUUUUCUCUGUUUUAGCUUUCGCUAGGGAUGGCUGUACAACAACGUGCAUUAUGGUGACUCCUCCCGUGAACUCACCAAAAGGUAAUUUACACUGACCAACAGUCUUGUUAUUUUCCAAAAUUUUUCCAGAACUUAUCAGUUUCACUUCACUGGCUGCCUUCGGAGUGAUUGUUUUGCCUUUGGGCCAAUCGGACACUAUUCUCUGCUUAAGCACAUCUAUUGUCGAUGCCGACGAGUAUCGGAAAGGUCCAAUAUCAGAACCAUCGUAGAGCCUGAACUUAAUGUCAAUCAAAUCGUCCUCCGGCAUCUGAGUUGACUAUCCUAAAAUCAGGUA